rnacentral:rRNA from 1 species
UGAGGAAUAUUGGACAAUGGGCGCAAGCCUGAUCCAGCCAUGCCGCGUGCAGGAUGACGGUCCUAUGGAUUGUAAACUGCUUUUUGUACAGGAAGAAACAGUUCUACGUGUAGAACCUUGACGGUACUGUAAGAAUAAGGAUCGGCUAACUCCGUGCCAGCAGCCGCGGUAAUACGGAGGAUCCAAGCGUUAUCCGGAAUCAUUGGGUUUAAAGGGUCCGUAGGCGGUUAGAUAAGUCAGUGGUGAAAGCCCAUCGCUCAACGGUGGAACGGCCAUUGAUACUGUCUGACUUGAAUUAUUAGGAAGUAACUAGAAUAUGUAGUGUAGCGGUGAAAUGCUUAGAGAUUACAUGGAAUACCAAUUGCGAAGGCAGGUUACUACUAAUGGAUUGACGCUGAUGGACGAAAGCGUGGGUAGCGAACAGGAUUAGAUACCCCGGUAGUCCCUGAGCGGGCUGGCAAGGCGCAU